GACAGAGGUGCCAAGCGUUAGGCGGAAUCACUGGGCUUAAAGCGUGUGUAGGUGGAUGCCUAAGUGCCUUGUGAAAUCCCACGGCUCAACCGUGGAAUUGCUGGGCAUACUGGGUGUCUUGAGCCAUCCAGGGGUCGCUGGAACAAACGGUGGAGCGGUGAAAUGCGUAGAUAUCGUUUGGAACGCCAAUGGUGAAAACAGGCGACUGGGGAUGAGCUGACACUGAGACACGAAAGCCAUGGGAGCAAACGGG
rnacentral:rRNA from 1 species